rnacentral:rRNA from 1 species
GAUGAACGCUGGCGGCGUGCCUAAUACAUGCAAGUCGAGCGAACAGACGAGAAGCUUGCUCCUCUGAUGUUAGCGGCGGACGGGUGAGUAACACGUGGAUAACCUACCUAUAAGACUGGGAUAACUUCGGGAAACCGGAGCUAAUACCGGAUAAUAUUUUGAACCGCAUGGUUCAAUAGUGAAAGACGGUCUUGCUGUCACUUAUAGAUGGAUCCGCGCCGCAUUAGCUAGUUGGUAAGGUAACGGCUUACCAAGGCAACGAUGCGUAGCCGACCUGAGAGGGUGAUCGGCCACACUGGAACUGAGACACGGUCCAGACUCCUACGGGAGGCAGCAGUAGGGAAUCUUCCGCAAUGGGCGAAAGCUUGACGGAGCAACGCCGCGUGAGUGAUGAAGGUCUUCGGAUCGUAAAACUCUGUUAUUAGGGAAGAACAAAUGUGUAAGUAACUAUGCACGUCUUGACGGUACCUAAUCAGAAAGCCACGGCUAACUACGUG